AACUCAAAGGAAUUGACGGGGCCCGCACAAGCGGUGGAGUAUGUGGUUUAAUUCGAUGCAACGCGAAGAACCUUACCUAGGUUUGACAUCCGGAAAACCUUCCCGAAAAGGAAGGGUGCCCUUCGGGGAAUUCCGAGACAGGUGCUGCAUGGCUGUCGUCAGCUCGUGCCGUGAGGUGUUGGGUUAAGUCCCGCAACGAGCACAACCCUAUUGCCAGUUGCUACCAGGUAAUGCUGGGCACUCUGGUGAGACUGCCCCGGUUAACGGGGAGGAAGGUGGGGACGACGUCAAGUCAUCAUGGCCCUUACGCCUAGGGCUACACACGUACUACAAUGGCGCAUACAAAGGGCAGCGAUACCGCGAGGUGGAGCCAAUCCCAAAAAGUGCGUCCCAGUCCGGAUUGCAGUCUGCAACUCGACUGCAUGAAGUUGGAAUCGCUAGUAAUUCGAGAUCAGCAUGCUCGGGUGAAUGCGUUCCCGGGCCUU
rnacentral:rRNA from 1 species